AUUGAACGCUGGCGGCAUGCUUUACACAUGCAAGUCGAACGGCAGCACGGACUUCGGUCUGGUGGCGAGUGGCGAACGGGUGAGUAAUACGUCGGGACGUACCCAGUAAUGGGGGAUAACUAUCCGAAAGGAUAGCUAAUACCGCAUACGCCCUACGGGGGAAAGAGGGGGAUCGCAAGACCUCUUGUUAUUGGAGCGGCCGAUGGCUGAUUAGCUAGUUGGUAGGGUAAAGGCCUACCAAGGCAACGAUCAGUAGCGGGUCUUAGAGGACGAUCCGCCACACUGGAACUGAGACACGGUCCAGACUCCUACGGGAGGCAGCAGUGGGGAAUCUUGGACAAUGGGCGCAAGCCUGAUCCAGCAAUGCCGCGUGCGUGAAGAAGGCCUUCGGGUUGUAAAGCGCUUUUGUCAGGGAGCAAAUCCUUGUGGCUAAUACCCACCGGGGAUGAGAGUACCUGAAGAAUAAGGACCGGCUAACUACGUGCCAGCCGCCGCGGUAACAC
rnacentral:rRNA from 1 species